rnacentral:rRNA from 1 species
UGGGGAAUCUUGCGCAAUGCGCGAAAGCGUGACGCAGCAACGCCGCGUGGGGGAAGACGGCCUUCGGGUUGUAAACCCCUUUCAGUUGGGACGAAGCUCCGGCGGUGAAUAGCCGUCUGGAGUGACGGUACCUUCAGAAGAAGCCCCGGCUAACUACGUGCCAGCAGCCGCGGUAAUACGUAGGGGGCAAGCGUUGUCCGGAAUCAUUGGGCGUAAAGAGCGUGUAGGCGGCUUGGUAAGUCCGCUGUAAAAGUCCAGGGCUCAACCCUGGAAAGCCGGUGGAAACUACCAAGCUUGAGUCCGGAAGAGGCGAGUGGAAUUCCUGGUGUAGCGGUGAAAUGCGCAGAUAUCAGGAGGAACACCAAUGGCGAAGGCAGCUCGCUGGGACGGUACUGACGCUGAGACGCGAAAGCGUGGGGAGCAAACA